rnacentral:rRNA from 1 species
GACGAACCGUGCGAACGUUGUUCGGAAUCACUGGGCUUAAAGGGCGCGUAGGCGGGUUCGUCAAGUCUGUGGUGAAAGCCUCCAGCUUAACUGGAGAAGUGCCGUGGAUACUGCGAAUCUUGAGGAGGGUAGGGGCGUCUGGAACGGUCGGUGGAGCGGUGAAAUGCGUUGAUAUCGGGAGGAACAUCUGUGGCGAAGGCGACACCCUGGACCAGCACUGACACUGAGGCACGAAAGCGUGGGGAGCAAACAGG